CGUAGGAGGCAAGCGUUAUCCGGAUUCACUGGGCGUAAAGCGCGUGCAGGCGGUGCGGUAAGUUGGGUGUGAAAUCUCCCGGCUCAACUGGGAGAGGUCAUUCAAUACUACCGUACUCGAGAGCAGAAGAGGAAGAUGGAAUUCCCGGUGUAGUGGUGAAAUGCGUAGAUAUCGGGAGGAACGCCAGUGGCGAAGGCGAUCUUCUGGUCUGUUUCUGACGCUCAGACGCGACAGCUAGGGUAGUAAACGGGAUUAGAGACCCCGGUAAUCCUAGCCGUAAACGAUGUGAACUUGGCGUUGGUGGGUUAAACUCCAUCAGUGCCGUAGCAAACGCGAUAAGUUCACCGCCUGGGACUACGGCCGCAAGGUUA
rnacentral:rRNA from 1 species